GCGCCGGUUGGCCCGCAAUGGAUAGCGUAUCAGACUUCGAAUCUGGGGGUUGCGGGUUCGAGUCCCGCAUCGCGUA
rnacentral:tRNA from 1 species